rnacentral:rRNA from 1 species
UGGGGAAUUUUGGACAAUGGGGGAAACCCUGAUCCAGCCAUCCCGCGUGUGCGAUGAAGGCCUUCGGGUUGUAAAGCACUUUUGGCAGGAAAGAAACGUCAUGGGUUAAUACCCCGUGAAACUGACGGUACCUGCAGAAUAAGCACCGGCUAACUACGUGCCAGCAGCCGCGGUAAUACGUAGGGUGCAAGCGUUAAUCGGAAUUACUGGGCGUAAAGCGUGCGCAGGCGGUUCGGAAAGAAAGAUGUGAAAUCCCAGAGCUCAACUUUGGAACUGCAUUUUUAACUACCGGGCUAGAGUGUGUCAGAGGGAGGUGGAAUUCCGCGUGUGGCAGUGAAAUGCGUCGAUAUGCGGAGGAACACCGAUGGCGAAGGCAGCCUCCUGGGAUAACACUGACGCUCAUGCACGAAAGCGUGGGGAGCAAACAGG